UACGUAGGGUGCAAGCGUUGUCCGGAUUUAUUGGGCGUAAAGAGCUCGUAGGCGGUCUGUCGCGUCGGAUGUGAAAACCCAGGGCUCAACCCUGGGCCUGCAUUCGAUACGGGCAGACUAGAGUACGGCAGGGGAGACUGGAAUUCCUGGUGUAGCGGUGAAAUGCGCAGAUAUCAGGAGGAACACCGGUGGCGAAGGCGGGUCUCUGGGCCGUAGCUGACGCUGAUGCGCGACAGCGUGGGGAGCAAACAGG
rnacentral:rRNA from 1 species